rnacentral:rRNA from 1 species
UACGUAGGGUGCAAGCGUUGUCCGGAAUUAUUGGGCGUAAAGAGCUCGUAGGCGGUCUGUCGCGUCGGCUGUGAAAACCCGGAGCUCAACUCCGGGCCUGCAGUCGAUACGGGCUGACUGGAGUUCGGCAGGGGAGACUGGAAUUCCUGGUGUAGCGGUGAAAUGCGCAGAUAUCAGGAGGAACACCGGUGGCGAAGGCGGGUCUCUGGGCCGUUACUGACGCUGAGGAGCGAAAGCGUGGGGAGCGAACAGG